rnacentral:rRNA from 1 species
CCUACGGGAGGCAGCAGUGAGGAAUAUUGGUCAAUGGACGAGAGUCUGAACCAGCCAAGUAGCGUGAAGGAUGACUGCCCUAGGGGUUGUAAACUUCUUUUAUAUGGGAAUAAAAUGUUACACGAGUGGGAUAUUGAAUGUACCAUAUGAACAAGGAUCGGCUAACUCCGUGCCAGCAGCCGCGGUAAUACGGAGGAUCCGAUCGUUAUCCGGAUUUAUUGGGUUUAAAGGGAGCGUAGGUGGAUUGGUAAGUCAGUUGUGAAAGUGUUUGGCUUAACCGUAAAAUUGCAGUUGAAACUGGCAGUCUUGAGUACAGUAGAGGUGGGCGGAAUUCGUGGUGUAGCGGUGAAAUGCUUAGAUAUUACGAAGAACUCCGAUUGCGAAGGCAGCUCACUGGACUGCAACUGACGCUGAGGCUCGAAAGUGUGGGUAGCGAACAGGAUUAGAUACCCGAGUAGUC